rnacentral:lncRNA from 1 species
AUCAAAAUUUUAUUUGAAUUAAUGUUUAGUUGUUCAAAUUAAAUAGUGUGUUGUCAAUGUAUUUGAAAAAAGGUAGGGGUGCACACACAGAAGUUUAACUUUUCAGACUAUACAAACAUACUAUGAAGUGGUAUGUACAAACUUACAAAUUUUAGUUUAUUAUUGCAACAGUUUGUACCCAAACAAGACAGCUCCAUUGACGGUGGUGCUUAUCUGUGCAAAUUAUGCAUAUCUAAUAUGUUAUUGUUAAAAUUAAUUGACUUUUAGUUUGCCUAUACAUCAUACUGUGUUGUGAUGGAGUGUUCUGAUAUGUUGUCCAAGUAUAAAUUCUAUUGUAAUGGUUAUGCUCUGUCAUAACAUUGUUUAUUAGAUAACUUCAAAAUUUUUGAGGCAAUGGCUUAUGACUCUCAUGCUUCAAAGUUUCAGGUGGAAGACAAUAACUAUUAGCGUUGCAACCAGAGUUAGCAACUCUUUACAAUGAUUUACAAGCAUUGAAAAGGGAUUUGCAAAAAAAGUGUGGCAUUCCUAGCCCAGGAUAACUACUUUUUAGGCUAGAUUCUAAAGCUCAAUAUAACUAUUUCAAAGGGUCUCCUUAUCUUUAAAGAGCAGUGAUUUCAAGGAUAUCGAACUAUUAUUGUUUUAAUUGUGUAAUUAAAUGAAAUCAGUAUCUCAGUA